rnacentral:rRNA from 1 species
AAGACUUUAGAUAUGAUCCAGAGUACCACGGGACACGGUAAACCCUGUGGGAAGCAGGAGGGACCACCCUCCAAGGCUAAAUACUACCUAGUGACCGAUAGCGUAUAGUACCGGGAGGGAAAGGUGAAAAGAACCCCGGGAGGGGAGUGAAAUAGAACCUGAAACCCUGCACUUACAAGCUGUGGAAGCACAUUUCUUGUGUGACCGCGUACUUUUUGUAGAACGGGCCAACGAGUUACGU